GUGAGGGCGCUGCUAUACAUGCAGUCGAGCGGACCUCUUCGGAGGUCAGCGGCGGACGGGUGAGUAACACGUGGGCAACCUGCCUGUAAGACUGGGAUAACUCCGGGAAACCGGAGCUAAUACCGGAUAACCUUUUGAACCGCAUGGUUCAAAAUUGAAAGACGGUUAUGCUGUCACUUACAGAUGGGCCCGCGGCGCAUUAGCUAGUUGGUGAGGUAAUGGCUCACCAAGGCGACGAUGCGUAGCCGACCUGAGAGGGUGAUCGGCCACACUGGGACUGAGACACGGCCCAGACUCCUACGGGAGGCAGCAGUAGGGAAUCUUCCGCAAUGGACGAAAGUCUGACGGAGCAACGCCGCGUGAGUGAUGAAGGUUUUCGGAUCGUAAAGCUCUGUUGUCAGGGAAGAACAAGUGCGGGAGUCACUGCCCGUGCCUUGACGGUACCUGACCAGAAAGCCACGGCUAACUACGUGCCAGCAGCCGCGGUAAUACGUAGGUGGCAAGCGUUGUCCGGAAUUAUUGGGCGUAAAGCGCGCGCAGGCGGUCUUUUAAGUCUGAUGUGAAAGCCCCCGGCUCAACCGGGGAGGGUCAUUGGAAACUGGAGGACUUGAGUGCAGAAGAGGAGAGUGGAAUUCCACGUGUAGCGGUGAAAUGCGUAGAGAUGUGGAGGAACACCAGUGGCGAAGGCGACUCUCUGGUCUGUAACUGACGCUGAGG
rnacentral:rRNA from 1 species